AUUGAACGCUGGCGGCAUGCCUUACACAUGCAAGUCGAACGGCAGCACGGGUGCUUGCACCUGGUGGCGAGUGGCGAACGGGUGAGUAAUACAUCGGAACAUGUCCUGUAGUGGGGGAUAGCCCGGCGAAAGCCGGAUUAAUACCGCAUACGAUCUACGGAUGAAAGCGGGGGACCUUCGGGCCUCGCGCUAUAGGGUUGGCCGAUGGCUGAUUAGCUAGUUGGUGGGGUAAAGGCCUACCAAGGCGACGAUCAGUAGCUGGUCUGAGAGGACGACCAGCCACUGUGAGUGAGACACGCGGCCGAGACUCCUGCGAGGCGCCGGAGUGGAAAAUUGUACACAAUGCGCAAACGUGUGAUCCAACAGUGCCGCGUGUGAAGAAGGCCUUCGGGUUGUAAAGCACUUUUGUCCGGAAAGAAAUCCUUGGCCCUAAUACGGUCGGGGGAUGACGGUACCGGAAGAAUAAGCACCGGCUAACUACGUG
rnacentral:rRNA from 1 species